UUUUUUUUUUUUUUAAUGCCCCAGUUGGCUGUUCUGCUGAUUCUCGAGAUGCAGCUGAGUGAUCUUCUUUUCUUGCUCAAGAAGUCGGGAAAUCUCGUCAGGAAUCCCUUCAAGCAUCAUCUUCUUCCGCUUCGAAUACAGGGAAUUCAAAAUUGGGAGAUGACGUCCGAUCAUUAUGUUCAAUGGGUUUGAGAAUCAACCUGCAUAAUGAUUUUGAGUAUAAAAAGCACUUUGAAAAUCAAACAAGGCAAUC
rnacentral:lncRNA from 1 species